UCUGUUAUAUUAAAUUUCAGAGAGAAGUAAAUUCAGUUGAUUCACCGGUUGGUAGGUAAAAUAUUUGCUAUGCACAUUGGAAGGAAGCGAUAGAUUUCUAAAUCUGUCUUUUUAAAUAAUAACAAAUCAGCAUUAGACAAUGCAUCGUUCGUGACCAGUGAAAUCGAAACACUAUUGAAAAAAGGUUGUUUAUUUGAGGUAAGCGAAUUUCCUUUUGUGAUAAAUCCGUUGACAGUUGCAUUUGGCAAGAAAGGUAACCCACGGUUAGUGCUAGAUUGUCGCCAUAUAAACCCAGAGCUUUUCAAGAAUAAUGUUGUUUUGAAGAUCAGUCAGUUGCUAAAGGAAUGUUCUUUAAGGGAGAUUACUUGUUUGCAUUUGAUAUUCGCAGUGCUUUUCACCAUAUCAUGAUUUUUCAUGAACAUAGAACUAUUCUAGGAUUCUGUUGCAACGGAAAAUACUACGUCUAUAACGUGCUUGCUUACGGGAUAUCAACUGCAGGAUUCAUAUUUACUAAAGUACUGAGAGUUCUGAUAACAAAAUGGAGAAGUUAAGGCCAUAAAAUUGUUUUAUUUCUUGAUGACGAUCUAGGUGGUGCAACAACUUACGAGGAUUGAGUUUCUGCAUCAAACUUCUUUCAUAGAGAUCUAGGAAGUUUUGGCUUUUUGAUUGCGGAGGACAAAUGUUAUUGGGAGCCGUUUCAGUCUAUUACGUGGCUUGGUUACGUUUGGAACACGUUAGAAGGACUAAACCAGAGAGAGGGUAUCCAGAAUGAGUUAAGCACCAGUGGAUUGGAUGGUGACGUAUUCGGUGAUCUGUCGGACAAGUUGGCGAACUUUUUGGCGGGUUCAAAGAGUGACAAUACGAACAUCAAGUAUAUGAGUUAUUUUGAUAAGUGGAAGCAUUUCAUUACAUCAAAUGGAGAUAACGCAAUUCCAGCUUCACCAAUUUACAUUGCCUUAUAUUUGACUGAAUUAAUCGACAAACGCAUUUCUAGUUCUGUGAUAAGUGCAACUGUGUACAGCAUUAAAUGGGCACAUUCACUCAGGAUUUAACCGGAUCCUAUUGCUAAUUAAUUUGUGACAAACCUGCUCGAUACUGCAAAAAGAACUCUUUAAAAACCGACACAACGCAAGGAUCCCAUUUUAACUGACACGUUAAUAAGUUUGUGUAACAAUUAUUCUAGCACUAUAGAUGUUUACAUUCUACGUGAUUUAUGUAUGAUUAUUGUAGCGUUUAAUGGAUUUUUGCGUUUUGAUGAAUUGAUUCAUUUGCAUUGUUACGAUAUAAAGUUUUACGAUGAUUA